CCUACGGGUGGCUGCAGUGAGGAAUAUUGGUCAAUGGACGAGAGUCUGAACCAGCCAAGUAGCGUGAAGGAUGACUGCCCUAUGGGUUGUAAACUUCUUUUAUAUGGGAAUAAAAUGUUCCACGUGUGGGAUUUUGUAUGUACCAUAUGAAUAAGGAUCGGCUAACUCCGUGCCAGCAGCCGCGGUAAUACGGAGGAUCCGAGCGUUAUCCGGUUUUAUUGGGUUUAAAGGGAGCGUAGGUGGAUUGUUAAGUCAGUUGUGAAAGUUUGCGGCGAAACCGUAAAAUUGCAGUUGAAACUGGCAGUCUUGAGUACAGUAGAGGUGGGCGGAAUUCGUGGUGUAGCGGUGAAAUGCUUAGAUAUCACGAAGAACUCCGAUUGCGAAGGCAGUUCACUGGACUGCAACUGACACUGAGGCUCGAAAGUGUGGGUAUCAAACAGGAUUAGAUACCCGUGUAGUC
rnacentral:rRNA from 1 species